CAAUACCUUACUGUUUGCUUUGGGUUGUCUUUUGGGGAUCACACUGAGGAGAGUGUUGUGCAGGGAUGCCUGCUGCCUGCAACAGCAAGUUGCUACCAUCCCUCACAUAAAUUAACACAGCUCAGAGGUUGGGCACCCUUAGCACGUAGGGAGAGAAACUGACAAGAACACAAAACACAAAUCCACUAUAUAUACUGGAAAGGAGUUAUGCUCUUUGUGAUGUAACUACUUAACCAACAGUGCCUUUGUUUCUGAGAAGACCCGCCUGGACGCCUACCUGUGUGAUGUGGUGUAGGGAACCUGCUUUGUCAGGGAGGUUGGACUUGAUGAUCUCUGGAGGUGUCUUCCAACCCCUACAAUUCUGUGAUUUUGUGAAGAUGGAAUAGAACUUACAUUGUCUUUCCUGCUUCUGAUUUCUCUUUAUUGUUUUAAUAAGGACUUCUUUCCACAGGGCACAGAUCUCAUGACUGCUAUGGCAUGUGUGCCAGACCUGCAGGUGUGUGAGGCUGGAUGGUCGUCCUUCUGGUGGAAUGCAACAGUGAAGUACUCCAAGAGAUUGGUUAGUGAGCUUCUGUGCAGAAAAAGGGAAACACUGACCGAAGAAGUUGUCUUGUGAUGAAAUAGCACGAUUCAGUGACUGAUGAUGGCACGGAGAACUAAAAAGUGAACAGUUGGCUAGCAACCCAGCACUUCAUAAAUGUCCAGUCCAGGGAGAAAUAUUUAAGGCUUACUACUGAAGAAGAUGCUGGUAAAAACAGUACCUGAACCACAGCAAGGCAGUGGGUUUACACACAUACUAGAACGUUAACUCAAAUAUUGAUGUUGUUAAAGCCUUAAUGUGUAGACCUGUUCACCAACUGAGAGAAGAUGUGUAGAUAGUUACUUGCAACAAAACAAAG
rnacentral:lncRNA from 1 species